GUCCAGUGGCUGACGAUGGGUGUGGGUGUGCAAGGCUGGUAGUGGGGCGAAGCUGCAGCAUGCAGGGCCAGCCACUUCCCUUACUGGUCUGUCAGCAUAGCCCCUGCUGCGUGCUGGCUCUCAGCCAGCAAAACCCUGCCCCCGUCCUGUUUCCUGCUAGCACUGGCUGCACGGUGCGAGCUGCGGUGGCUGGCUAGAAGAUGAUAAUUCUGCCGAGUACCUGGAAGACUGAGACUGGAUGUUUAAUCAAUCUGGCUGGUUUCAGCGAUAUUUUCGUCAGACCCACUUGCAGCAAGCUACCUCCGUAUUCUGGUUGCCAUGGCAUAACAAUGAUUUCUUUACUCCAAAAACCAAACCAAAACAUCUUCAACAAUGUAUUAUCCAUAAAAAGCCCCAACAAAACAAAAAACUGUUUCUAUUCCAUCUGCCACAUUCUAUUAUGUGAAACUACUAAAGCUUGGCUCCAGUGUUAGGCCUUAGUACAGUCGCACUCAGAACCACAGUACAGUGCCUUGUCAUUACUAUUUUAAAAUGCUUAUUUUAUACACAACAAAGCAAAGCACUGAACAAAAUAAGUCUGGGCACUUUUUACUAUGUUUAAAAAAAAUAUAACCAACAUCACAUUGAAAUGAAGUGCCAUAUACUGCAGAAUUUAUUGCCAUCAGUCAUAAUUCCUCUAGAUCUGCAUUCCCUAUCUCGCACAUUGGGUAACCUCUACAGCUCUAUUGACAGGGAUUCAACUUACCCCCUACCCAGAUAGCGGAGAGAAAAGAGAAGCUUUUCAUGACAUCAAGAAGGUUAAUAAAUCUAGGCUCUGGGAGAGAAAGCAGGAGAAGUCAGACAGAUGAGAAGUCAGACAGAUCUCUUACUGGUCCCCCAACCACUAUCUGUUCCCAGUGCUUUCAAUCUGGAUCUAAUGCAUCACUGAAUCUGACUGGUGCAGAAGGUGCACAACACCGAAAACACAGAGAACUGUGGAUGGUAAAAAUGUAACAAAACAGCGGCAAGGUGCACCAGCAGUACAAACAAGGGCACUUGUUAACUCCUGAGGAAGAUACAGCAGCAGCAAAGCUGGCCAUUCCACAGCAGAAUGCCAUAAUGUACUAGAAAACAAAGUGACAAACCAGAUGUGUAAUAAUAAAAUGAUAUAUAAAGGCACAACUGAAAAAUGAAGUUGUUACAAUGCAAAGAGGUUUUUGAAAAGAGUUUAACACCUU